AGACGGUAUGGAAAUUCCAUUCCUCCAUUAUCUCUGUUGUAGCUUGCUGGUAUGCAAUGAAAUGGCGCUUCCUACUGAAGUUUAGUUAGCUAGCUUUAAGCCAUAGAAAAUAUUUGGGCUAUGUUAUAUCAAUUGACAUGUGUUUUCUACUUCUUUAUUAUGUAUGUAAGGGUUUUAAAACCGACACUGUUGAUUGGCCAGACAGCAACGGUACCACUGAAGAACGUUAGCAAGUGAGUGAAGUGUCAGUGGGCCUGCCGCGUGAAUACAAAGACGUAGACAACAGUUGUUCCCUGAGGAUGGAGAGGAACGGGUCUGUGAAGCAGGAGACUAUAAGUGUUGCCUCCUACAGUUAGGAAGAGAAGAAGCUGUUGGCUGCCAUGGUGUCUGAGAAGGGGGAACUGGAGCUGACUGGCUCUCUGGUGAUGGAGGUGACUGAGGUUCUACAGUAAAGUGAUGCAGACACUGCACCCAACAGGGAGGAAAGGGCUCUGUACCUAGAGGAGGAGAAAGGAGAUGAGAGACAGACAGAUGAAGGGACUGCCCAGCAGAGAGGAGCAGCAGGCUAAUGCUGAGUGUGAACCCUCAGUGGAGCCUGAGGUAUAUUUAGAUUCUGUGAGCGACGGCGUGCGAGAUACGGAGCGAGCGAGCCAUCCUACACUCCACGCCGACACAAGAAGCUGUGUGUGUGAUGGCCAGCCUGAGGAGCCUGUUGGGUUUGACAAACUCUGCAUGCGGUUCCACGACCUCAACAGUUAUGAGGAGCACGUCCCUCGAGAGCACUCCAAACGCUCACGGCCUCUCUGUCCAGACUGUGGCAUCCUCAUCUCAACGUUACUCAGUGUGGAGCACCAGUGUGAACAAGUUCAAGCUGUUCUGUCUGUGGGAAGCGCUGCGUGGAUGAAGCUGGCCUCAAGCAUCACCAGAGGCUUCACCAUCAAGAGCAUGUCUACUCCUGUAAGUUCUGCCUCAAGCACUUCAAGGCCAGGGAAGACAAGCGGACCCACGAGAAGGACAACCACCGGGUCAAAUGCCCCUGGGGAUUUUACAACAUCUUGAAACGGAACCGCCAUCUCAGAGAGCAUGAGUCCAAGACAUUUGUAACACGUGCUACAAGGAAUUCCCCCAACUUAGCAAGCUUGAGAGGUACGAGCUGAGCCACAGUGACAACAAAUCUUUCAGGUGUCAGGUGUGCCAGCGUUCUUUGCCCAGGCCAGCCAGCUGAAGUCCCACCUGCGCGUCCACACUGGGGAGAGGCCCUUCAAAUGCCAGCGCUGCGUCAAGAGCUUUAACCACAAUGUCAGCCUCAAGAACCUCUUCACACGCUAUCACCAAGGGGAGGGAGGGAGGGAGGGAGGUGCGAGAGCGGAGGAGCAGGCGACAGUGGAAUUAUGAACCUGAGGAGGAGGAGCGUCAGAAUGAGAGUGAUUCUGACUUUGACCUGGAGGAAGAGGAGAAGACAGGGAGUAAAGGGAAAGGUAGUGGAGGAGGGGGGCACUGGUAGAAGCCUCUAGGAGAGAUACAUGUGGACACUGCUGUUGAAAAGCUGGAUACAUUAUCAUCACCACCCCAGAGAGAACCAGACCAGAACCAGGAGGCACCUGACGGUGUUAUUAAAAAAAGUCUUAUCGGUUUUGUCAUGACCAUAAUGUUUUGGCUUUGAACAUUACUUAGAACUCUUGAGGCUGUUGUUUUUUCACUUCUACAGUUUUGGUUUAAAAAAAAAAAGAUAUAUAUAUAUAUAUAUAUAUUGUUAAUGAAAAUGUGUUUCACUGUUCUACAUCAUCAAAUGUCAAGGAAAAAUCUGAUAGGUUUGUGAAGUGAAUAUGUUACAAAGAAUUUCCUACCCACAGAUGUUAUUGACUGAUAUAUUGCAUUUUGAAUUCUCCUGGCUGGACCGGCCCACUAGUUAAGAAGCACAGAGAUAAACUCAUCUUGGAUAUAACCAGCGAGGAAGCAAGAGGCUUGAUUCUGCUCUAAAGUAUGUCAGUACAAAAAUAGUGUUAACCAGUGGGAGUGGGGAUUUUCUUUUAGGGAGGUCAAUGAGAUAAUGUUGAAUUUGGUCAACAGUUAAAUAAAGGUUACAUAAAAAUAAACAUAAAAUUGAAUUUUUAA